rnacentral:rRNA from 1 species
UACAGAGGGUGCAAGCGUUAAUCGGAAUUACUGGGCGUAAAGCGUGCGUAGACGGUUGCGUAAGUCAGAUGUGAAAGCCCCGGGCUCAACCUGGGAAUUGCGAUGGAGACUGCAAGGCUUGAAUCUGGCAGAGGGGGGUAGAAUUCCACGUGUAGCAGUGAAAUGCGUAGAGAUGUGGAGGAACACCGAUGGCGAAGGCAGCCCCCUGGGUCAAGAUUGACGCUCAUGCACGAAAGCGUGGGGAGCAAACAGG